UUUCAUUAACUCGUUCAUGCCCGGGCUGUGUCCAUCUGUCACAUAGAUAACAGUGCCUGUAUUUCCUGUACUAGAUCCAACUAUUACAUGUUGCCAUACUGUUGAUGAGAUGAGUAGAUUUCUUUUGCUUGUUUUCACCAUUUUAGUCCUGGUAAGCACGUGCUGGGGCCAAUGUCCCACUGGUUCCCCUCUUAAAGGCCACAACUGCGGACGAGGCGGUACGGCUUGCCCUCACCAUUACUACUGCGAGAUCUCCCCCGUGGAUGCCUAUGCCGUCUGCUGUCCGACCCACUGCCCCACCGGCCCUCCGCUGAUGGACAAUACCGGGACGCCCGUCUACUGCGGGCGAGGUGGGGUCUCGUGCCCCUCGUUGUACUACUGUGAGAUUGCGCCCAACGACGCAUGGGCAGUGUGCUGUGCCAAUUGAGGAAACACCUUAUGCAUUGACAGAAACCAUAGUAUGUUUUGUCAUACUCUUCAACGGGGUACAUUUUACGGGGCAUGUAGACGUUUUUGGUCACGUGAUGAACUCGUGAUCUCUCAUCAGCAGUUUGUGGAUCCACCCGCCCUACCUGCGGACAGACAGAAUCAAGACCUAUUCACAAUAAUUCACUAUUUAAACCCUGAUACUACAAUAUAACAUUUUAUUGCUCAUAUUGGCAUACUUAAUUCUUACCACAGUCUAUCUAUAUGUUACAAUAAUGUGUAUAUUACAAUGAAUACAAACUUACAUAUAACUUGAAAUAAGAAGACAUUUAAACUCUGUUUUGUUUUAAAACUAAUGUUGUUAAUUUGUUACACAAGGCCUAAUGAACUCAUUUUCACAUCAA